rnacentral:rRNA from 1 species
CCUACGGGGGGCAGCAGUGAGGAAUAUUGGUCAAUGGCCGCGAGGCUGAACCAGUCAAGUCGCGUGCAGGAUGACGGCCCUAUGGGUUGUAAACCUCUUUUGUCCGGGGACAAAAUGCGCCACGUGUGGCGUUUUGCGAGUACCUGAAGAAAAAGCAUCGGCUAACUCCGUGCCAGCAGCCGCGGUAAUACGGAGGGUUCGGGCUUUAUCCGGUUUUAUUGGGUUUAAAGGGUGCGCAGGCGGAAUGUCAAGUCAGCGGGAAAAUUUCGGGGCUCAACCCCGGCAUGCCGUGGAAACUGGCUUUCUUGAGUGAGCGAGAAGUAUGCGGAAUGCGUGGUGUAGCGGUGAAAUGCUUAGAUAUCACGAAGAACUCCGAUUGCGAAGGCAGCAUACCGGCGCGCAACUGACGCUGAUGCACGAAAGCGUGGGUAUCGAACAGGAUUAGAUACCCGUGUAGUC